rnacentral:rRNA from 1 species
GAUGAACGCUGACAGAAUGCUUAACACAUGCAAGUCAACUUGAACUUCGGUUUGGGUGGCGGACGGGCGAGUAACGCGUAAAGAACUUGCCUCACAGAUAGGGACAACAUUUGGAAACGAAUGCUAAUACCUGAUAUUAUGAUUAUAUGGCAUCGUAUAAUUAUGAAAGCUAUAUGCGCUGUGAGAGAGCUUUGCGUCCCAUUAGCUAGUUGGAGAGGUAACGGCUCACCAAGGCGAUGAUGGGUAGCCGGCCUGAGAGGGUGAUCGGCCACAAGGGUACUGAGACACGGCCCUUACUCCUACGGGAGGCAGCAGUGGGGAAUAUUGGACAAUGGACCAAGAGUCUGAUCCAGCAAUUCUGUGUGCACGAUGAAGUUUUUCGGAAUGUAAAGUGCUUUCAGUUGGGAAGAAAAAAAUGACGGUACCAACAGAAGAAGUGACGGCUAAAUACGUGCCAGCCGCCGCCGUAAAAC